CAAGUCGAGCGGGAAUAGUCCUUCGGGAUGAUUUCUAGCGGCGGACGGGUGAGUAAAGCAUGAGAAUCUGCCCCUUAGUAGAGAAUACUCCCGAGAAAUCGGGCUUAAUACUGUAUGUUUCUUUCUUAUGGAAAGACAAAGAUGGCCUCUUGCUAUCGCUAAGGGAUGAGCUUAUGUGCUAUCAGCUAGUUGGUGAGGUAAUGGCUCACCAAGGCUAUGACGGCUAGCCGGCCUGAGAGGGUGUACGGCCACACUGGAACUUAGACACGGUCCAGACUCCUACGGGAGGCAGCAGUGGGGAAUAUUGCGCAAUGGGCGAAAGCCUGACGCAGCGACGUCGCGUGAAGGAUGAAGGUCUUCGGAUUGUAAACUUCUGUUAAGUGGGAAGAAAGCUUCACUAAUAAUACGAGUGAGGGAUGACGGUACCAUUAGAGAAAGCACCGGCUAACUUCGUGCCAGCAGCCGCGGUAAGACGAGGGGUGCGAGCGUUAUUCGGAAUUAUUGGGCGUAAAGGGUGUGUAGACGGUGUGUCAAGUCUGUUGUUAAAUCUCCCGGCUUAACCGGGAAUAUGCAGUGGAUACUGGCAUGCUAGAGGGUGGAAGAGAGAAGUGGAAUUCUCGGAGUAGCGGUAAAAUGCGUAGAUCUCGAGAGGAACACCAAUGGCGAAGGCAGCUUCUUGGUCCAUUUCUGACGUUGAAACACGAAAGCGUGGGGAGCAAACAGGAUUAGAUACCCUGGUAGUCCACGCUGUAAACGAUGAUCACUAGACGUCAGUUUCGCUUGCGAAAUUGGUGUCGUAGCUAACGCGUUAAGUGAUCCGCCUGGGGAUUACGGUCGCAAGACUAAAACUCAAAGGAAUUGACGGGGGUCGCACAAGCGGUGGA
rnacentral:rRNA from 1 species